GGAUACACCACACUUCUGCUGUAAAAAGAAUGAAGAAGCACAAUGUAGCCAGCAUGGCAUCAGAAGGAACUGGUGCUGGCUGAUUUUUCACAUUCCAUGUUCCUGAUGAUGCAGCAAUUAUCAGCAGCAUUCUUUAUGGGAAAAAUACGUCCAAUACUAUCAGAAGACAGCUCAGUAUGAGGGAGAAUUUUGUAAGCAACACAGAACUGACACAGAAGCAACCACAAGGACACAACAGUGGGUUUGAGAAACAAACCCCUCACGGCUUUCUGCAAGUGCUGGCCUUCUCCCUCACUGCCCUCCACACACAAAUUUGAACAGCUGGCUUGUUCCAAACCUCAGCAAAAAGAAAAGAAGAAAAGAAGAGGGGGGGAAACUUCACACCUUCCUCUCUUUUCCUGCAAGUUGCUCUAAAAUGUAUCUGGUGCACUCUGGUGGCUGCUUUGGUAAUUCUUAAUGUGAUGAAUGCAAAAGGUGAAACUAAUUACUGAUGCCGUUUUUGAGAUUAUCCAUAUGAAGAGUAAUGAGCAUAUGAAUUUAUUCCAGUUUAUUCAGUUUGAUUUUUCUUGAACGCAACCCCUGGAGAAAUUCAGGUCUCGCCCAUCACAGUCCAUCUGUUUACCUUACGAAAAUCACAGGGAGUUUUGAUUGCACGAGGUUCUCAUCUCAUCUGCUUUAAUGUUUUCACUCAUGGUCAGACAGCUGCUGAAUUUUACCCAGAGGCAUAUCAGUUUCAGUAGUGGUAAUUUAUCCACAUUUAUUUGCUGUGUGACCUUGCACAAUCCUCAUACCCAUGCUUGCCUCCCUUCUAUCCAUAUAACGGGGCUAAUAAUACCUAACUAUUUAUGAAGGUUAUUCACCAUACGUUGAAUUGCAUUAAAAGGUACCAAAAGUGCAGUGUAUUACUUCUUGUUGCUUUACUAUUAUGACUUUUUUUUUUUUGGUGUGUGAUUUAAAAGGGAUAAAAUGGCAUGGGUUUCUGUAUCCAGGAGCACAGAGAACAAAUAAUAAAUCUUUUACACUUUGCAGUAUCUCAACAUGAGGUGUAGGACUUUAGAGGAAAACUUAAUACCACAACUGAAGUUCCACACCACUUUUGAAAAGUCAUCAUCAGUGUUGCAGGCUAAGGGUUUUUCACUGGUGAUUCUGAAAGCCCCCUUUCUCUUGAGAUAGUUUUGAUACAAUUUUAGUUGCUUAAACUUUCACUUCACAUAUGCCAUUAAUUCUGAAAAGACAGUGUAUUUUCAGCAUAUGAUGGCCUCAGUCUUUAUUAAUGCUCCCAAAGCGUCACUUAGAUGUGGCACAGGUAGAUACGUUCUCCAAGUGUACGAAAAUAAAGACCAAAGAAAAACUGUGGUGCACGGUAUCUAUGUUUCUGAUCAAUCCUGUCUUAAGUACAUACAAGGCAGCUCUAUAACCCCCCCAAAAGUUUUUUCCCGUGUUCAACAUGCUACAUGCUUUCACUUCUCUGUCAGAGAGAAUGCUUCUAUCUUCCUGGCCAUCUUUCUUGCCUUUUUUUUUUUGCAUCUGUUCCAAUGUGAAUCAAUCUUCCCUGAGCAUGGGGGUCCUGAACUCUGUAGAGCAACUGGUAUCUUGCACAAUGUCACAAGCACUUUAUUGUGGAAAACGUUAGCUUUUCCCAUGGCUGUGUCACAUUGGUGCUUACAGUCCUCCUAUGACCAACUUGAACGUACAUGCAUAUGAUACAGUUGGAGCAGAUUUGCUGACCAGUUUGCACAUCAGAGCAUACAUGGGAAGGUCAUUCCAAAAUCUGUUAGGGAUACAUGCAGACUGGUGGGGGGCAUUCAAUUUUUUGUUGUGAGGUUGCUGUCACAUGAAAGCCAGAAAUCCCAGUUUUGUCUCUCCCCUUGGAUAACACACCCAACAUUAAAACCACUGGAGACAUGGGAGUGGAGAAGGUUCCCAUAACUCACAACACUACCUCUCUUAUCCUUUAAAUUAGGCAUUAAACCGCUAUAUCCAGCAUUUGGGUGUAACUGGACAGAUGGAAUGGCCAGCUCAAGUUUCAUCAAGUGAAGUGAGGAUGGGGGCAGCAAGUGCAGAGAACCUACUUGGAAACAACCAUGCAAUUUGCUGCUUUAAAAAGCAGGCUGUCUGUCACCCAGCUUCACAGCCUGUGCUAGCUGUUCCCCCCGACCGCUUUAGAUCAGGAUUGAGUAGGGACUGGGAUGUUUUUUUCACUAUACAUCUGGCGAGGAAGUUGAAGGCAUGCUCCCUCUUGCACACAUCCUCUAAGUCAGCCUGCUUUUUGACUCUGUGCUCUUCUCUUCAUUAACCUUCUAAUUUUGCUGCUGUCUGCAGAUUUCAUCACAGCGCAGAAACAUCUGGUGGAGUAAAACAUGCAGCAGCAAUGACAAAGAUUAUUUUCUCAGUUUAGUCAGAAAAGCUCACGAACAUUGUGACAAAAUCCUAAACCAAGUAAGCCAGAGCUAUCCAGAAAUGUAGCUGCUAGGCUGGCAACAAGCGCUUCAGAACAAUGAAAGAAACAAUUGCCUGAGUCAUCAGCUGCGUGAAAGAAAAUGAUUGUUCUGUAAAGGCUUUUAAACCGUAGCUUACCCAGUAAACUUCAAGUUAACCUAGAGCAAAGUAUUUUUAGUUAUUUCUUACAGAUAUGAAAAACAAAAAUACUUAUUUUGCAUCAUUCUCUUCCACCCCAAACAUUCUUUUUUAAAUGUUUUCCUCUCCUUUGUUUUACACAGUUGAAUCAAAUUCAGAGACCGUUCAUAUGGAAUAUUUCAAGCUGUCAAUAUUUGUAUUAUUUUGCUAUUUUGAAUUGAAACAGUCUUCUGAAUCCAACAUAAAUUCACAAAUGGUUUGCAUCAACUCAGAACUGCAUUUUCCAGGAAUUUAGCUAAAUUGCAAAAGAAAGCCACCACACUUCAACUAUAUAUAAAGUCCUAACUACAGUUUGAGAAAUACCACAUUAAUGGGGCAACAUCUCUUAAAACUGUAUCCGUACAUAUCAGAGACAAAUCAGAAGUGGGGAAUUAAAGUCCCUAUAUUUUCACUUUUUUAUCAGCUUACUAGGCUCAUUUCUGUUAUUCUGGAAUUCUGUAAAAAUCCUCAACACAACCAAAUAUUUAACUAUGACUUUUGCACAAAUUCGCUUUGCCAGCAAUGCUUAGCACUUGUAAUUUUGAAUUAAAUAAUAGGAUAUUUGGAAGUGUUUUCCAAUAGGUUUAUUGCAACGAGGACUGACCAGAUUUAGAACAAAGAAAUUCACAAACAUAAACUGCAGGAAUAAAACUGAUCAUUUGUUUAUGAUAGUACUCCUGAUGCUUUUUAUUUGCUCUUCAUAACUAUUCAAAAUGUAACUCUCCUGAAUAAAAACUACAAAGAAAACUAAUGUGAACACUUGUGCAAGAACUUUUAC